rnacentral:rRNA from 1 species
AGUGAACGCUGGCGGUAGCCCUAACACAUGCAAGUCGAACGGCAGCACAGUAAGAGCUUGCUCUUACGGGUGGCGAGUGGCGGACGGGUGAGGAAUACAUCGGAAUCUACUUUUUCGUGGGGGAUAACGUAGGGAAACUUACGCUAAUACCGCAUACGACCUACGGGUGAAAGCAGGGGAUCUUCGGACCUUGCGCGAUUGAAUGAGCCGAUGUCGGAUUAGCUAGUUGGCGGGGUAAAGGCCCACCAAGGCGACGAUCCGUAGCUGGUCUGAGAGGAUGAUCAGCCACACUGGAACUGAGACACGGUCCAGACUCCUACGGGAGGCAGCAGUGGGGAAUAUUGGACAAUGGGCGCAAGCCUGAUCCAGCCAUACCGCGUGGGUGAAGAAGGCCUUCGGGUUGUAAAGCCCUUUUGUUGGGAAAGAAAAGCAGCAGGUUAAUACCCCGCUGUUCUGACGGUACCCAAAGAAGAAGCACCGGCUAACUUCGU